rnacentral:rRNA from 1 species
AGCAGCCGCGGUAAUUCCAGCUCCAAUAGCGUAUAUUAAAGUUGUUGCAGUUAAAAAGCUCGUAGUUGAAUUUCGGGGUUAGUAGAUUGGUCAUGCCUCUGGUAUGUACUGGUCUCACUGAUUCCUCCUUCCUGAUGAUCCGUAAUGCCAUUAAUUUGGUGUUGCGGGGAAUUUGGACUGUUACUUUGAAAAAAUUAGAGUGUUUAAGGCAAGCUAACGCUUGAAUACAUUAGCAUGGAAUAAUGAAAUAGGACGUUCGAUCCUAUUUUGUUGGUUUCUAGGAUUGACGUAAUGAUUAAUAGGGAUAGUUGGGGGCAUUAGUAUUCAAUUGUCAGAGGUGAAAUUCUUGGAUUUAUUGAAGACUAACUACUGCGAAAGCAUUUGCCAAGGAUGUUUUCAUUAAUCAAGAACGAAAGUUAGGGGAUCGAAGACGAUCAGAUACCGUCGUAGUCUUAACCAUAAACUAUGCCGACUAGGGAUCGGAUGAUGUUAAUUUUUUAAUGACUCA